CUCACUUUCCCCAAAUCAGCCACAAUGGCGUCUUCCAAGUCUGUCGUCCUGCUGGUCCCCUCCGAUUCCUCCUCCGCUCGCUGACACCGGUACUCCCCUGCUCUCGGCCGUGGAUAAAUCCGCGUGAGGACGUCGGCUAGUGCGCGCCUCCGGCCACGCCGGUUGCUGCUGGACUCCCCAACGCCGCUGCCCGCCUCCCCUCCCCUGGACGGCUAGGUCGCUAAGGCCUACUGUGCUUCGUCGGCCGUCAGCCAGCUCUAUCCGUCGAGCAGUGCUGCUUCAGCUCAACGCACAUGCCUGCCUCCCUAGAAUGCCGGCGGUGCAGGCUGCACUAUAACCAGCCCGUUUUACCACUAGAUCUGUGGGGCGCCGGCGGCAGCAGGCAGCUGUAGCCCCCGCUCCCUGACCAACAUGACCAUGAGUAACAGCGGAUGCAGAGGACAAGCUCGAGGAUGGUGAUUCAGAGGAGCAGGGAGAUACAAGAAGAAAUAAUGCAAGAUGAGUCAUUUUGUUCAUUACGAUAAAUCUACGAAGUGGAAGAAAAUGAGCAUGCCUCUAAUAUUUCGAUCUUUUGAGGGCCAAGAUCUCAAGCAUGAAGUUCAUUUACUAUAAAGCUGGGCUAGGUUUCCCCACUUAUUGCCGCAACUUCACAUUGGACAUCACAAGGAUGGGUGAAGCCACGAAUCCUGAUUGAAGACCGGAAGAUGAUGAUGAUAACAAGAGCUCGAUGGAGGUGUGCAGUCCUAUUGAAGAUGGCCAAGUUCAGAUCCAAAGGCGAUGUAUUCCAUCCAGUGCCUGUGGCCGGGGAUCGCAUCCAGCAUGUGCGAUCUGUGUGGAGAACGCACCCUGCGGCCAACAAAAUCCUGUUAUAUAGGCAAUGGAAAAAGGCGGGAGGUGAGUCGCAGAAAGAAAAAUUGGCGCCAAUGUGGUUGUUCAGGAAAGGGCGGAGGCGGAGAUGGACAGUUGCGAUCUGUAUUUGUUAAUCGCGUUUGUGGAAAAACGACUAAUACUCGUUUUCCCACAAACCUGGAAUUCUGGGCCUUUGUGAAACGAGUUUCCUAUAUGCAUGGGUUAGUUGGAGGAGCCAAACAA